CCUACGGGAGGCAGCAGUGAGGAAUAUUGGUCAAUGGACGAGAGUCUGAACCAGCCAAGUAGCGUGAAGGAUGACUGCCCUAUGGGUUGUAAACUUCUUUUAUAUGGGAAUAAACUGUUCCACGUGUGGGAUUUUGUAUGUACCGUAUGAAUAAGGAUCGGCUAACUCCGUGCCAGCAGCCGCGGUAAUACGGAGGAUCCGAGCGUUAUCCGGAUUUAUUGGGUUUAAAGGGAGCGUAGGUGGAUUGUUAAGUCAGUUGUGAAAGUUUGCGGCUCAACCGUAAAAUUGCAGUUGAAACUGGCAGUCUUGAGUACAGUAGAGGUGGGCGGAAUUCGUGGUGUAGCGGUGAAAUGCUUAGAUAUCACGAAGAACUCCGAUUGCGAAGGCAGUUCACUGGACUGCAACUGACACUGAGGCUCGAAAGUGUGGGUAUCAAACAGGAUUAGAUACCCCAGUAGUC
rnacentral:rRNA from 1 species